rnacentral:rRNA from 1 species
GACGAACGCUGGCGGCGUGCUUAACACAUGCAAGUCGAACGGUAAGGCCCUUCGGGGUACACGAGUGGCGAACGGGUGAGUAACACGUGGGUGAUCUACCCUGCACUUCGGGAUAAGCCUGGGAAACUGGGUCUAAUACCGGAUAGGAACAUGCGCUUCACGGUGUGUGGUGGAAAGCCUUUGCGGUGUGGGAUGGGCCCGCGGCCUAUCAGCUUGUUGGUGGGGUAAUGGCCUACCAAGGCGACGACGGGUAGCCGGCCUGAGAGGGUGACCGGCCACACUGGGACUGAGACACGGCCCAGACUCCUACGGGAGGCAGCAGUGGGGAAUAUUGGGCAAUGGAGGAAACUCUGACCCAGCGACGCCGCGUGAGGGAUGACGGCCUUCGGGUUGUAAACCUCUUUCAGCACCGACGAAGCGCAAGUGACAGUAGGUGCAGAAGAAGGACCGGCCAACUACGUGCCAGCAGCCGCCGUAA